rnacentral:lncRNA from 10 species
CUUGAGGUGGCUUCCGGCCGCCAGGCGAGACUCCGCGGGAAAACUCCCUGCUAGAGAGACUAGGAGAUUUGGGGCUGCGGCCGUUUCCUCCGGAGCACCCACGGGACUGUGUGCUGGGGUCCCUCCACCGGCUGUGUCCUUUAUUCUUCUUUCUCACCCAACGAUUUACCUGAACGGUUAUAAAGUGCACGUUAUUUCCCUAAGCACUUUGAGUAUAUUGGCCCACUGCAUUCUGGACUUCAAAAUUUCUGAUGCGAAAUAUGCUGAUACUUUUGUUGAAGAAAUCUGGGCUUUGAGCAUCUGUAAGAUAUUUGUUGGAAGGUUUUGUCUGGUCCUUCUUACUGAUGUGUUGCUCUUCUUCAUGGCUCGUGAAAACUAUUAGAGUCAUCCAAGGUUUGGAGACAGAAAGGAGCACCGCCAAGUGAGGCAGAGCAGUCUCAGAAACAUAGGAAAAUGGUGGGAAGAGAGAUCAGCAACGUUAACUGGGUGUCAAGAAAACAUACCGAGAUUGAAGCCAUCCACUUCUGCAGGAACACCGAAAAGAAAGCUGUUUUUGGUCGCUUCGAAGAGAGGGGAGACUCUGAGCUACCUGGGAAGGAGAUGCGUUUGGAGGUUGCAGGAGAAUCUGUCAGCUCCUUCUCUGCUUGGCUGGACGAUGCUAAAAGAGAAAGUAGAAGAUGCAAUACAGCAGCCAGACCAGGCCAGCUCCCAGAGGGUUUGUGUUGGGUGAAAAUCAACAUUCAUUUAUAGCACAGGAUUUUCUUAAAACACCAAAAUUCAAGAAGGAUGAACAUCCGGACUGAUUUAUCAAGCAUGUUGGAAAAGAAGCAAGUGUUUCUUUCUCCCCCAUGAAUUUCUGUCACUACUUUAACAACUGAACAUUAGGAAAAGAAGGCAAAGAAAUGGAAUAAAAGGCUCUGGAGUUGGAUUAAGCUAAAUUCAGUCUGUUCUAACCUCCCCCAAUCUAGAUACAAUCUGCUGGCUUGUGGGGGGCAGUAGGGCUGAGGGUGGGUGGGAAAGUCUCACCAAUUGCUUUGCCAGCCUCAGUACCAGACAUGCUCUGCUUCAGAAAUGUAAGAAGAGAUGUGCUCUCAACUUUAUUGUCCCUCCUCUUGGAAUCACAACAUGGCACAGCAUUGGCAACAUGAAAAAUGUGAUUUGAGAAAGGUUCACAUGAGUAUCAGCACACCAAAUAUGUGGGGGAAAAAAAUCAAGUUUGGGUUCAGCAGUUUGCUUUUGGGGAAGAAAUAAUUGAGGAGUGGAACUAGGCAGGGCCUGAAUCCAAGAUAUAAUCUAGCCAGUGCUCCAGACCCAAGAGUUUAUUCAGAGUGGGUGGGAAUAGGGAAAGUUUCCUAUCUGCUUGCCCAAACCAUGCCUCCAUGCCCCUCUUGCUUACACCACCAAAAAAACCAAACGCUAUUUAAAGAGGAGUGGCCCAUGAGGAUUGAGCAGCAGACAGCACGUACGGAAGUGCUGGUGGGAGGAGUUCUCUGAAGGAUGGAAAGGAAACAUUUCUUUAUCUUCUCUAUUUUUAACCCCAAUCAGUAGGCAUUAGGUUAGGCUCAGGGUUUAUAGUUAGGAAAAACCUGCUAUCUGCUCCUCCUUCCAGUAGAGGCAAACACUUUGAUAAGAAAACAGCCAGGCUAAGGGUUUAUCCAGGAUAAGCAAGGCUCCUCCAGCUUAAACACAGUAUGGUUGGAUCUGGUUGUUCCAUAACCUGGUCAAUAUCUGAGUGUUGGCUCUUUCAUUUGUUUUGAAUAUGGGACUCCAUUUUUCAGAAUUUUGUUUAAAGCAAUAAGAAAAAAAAAGUAAUAAAAGUGGUAGUGAGAAAAUAUAUAUACCCACUUCCCUCAUGAAAAAAUAAUGUGACUCAGCAUUCAGGUCACUGAAUUAGAAAGCCCAAUUUUUAUUCCCUGUUAAACUGCUUUCUGUUUUACCCUGUCUAGUUAUCUGGCAUAUAUUUCCAUUUAUGCUUGGGUUUGAAAUUUGUUCUGAUGUGGACACCAAGAUGCUGUCAUUAC